rnacentral:rRNA from 1 species
AAUCAACGCUGGCGGCGUGCCUCAGACAUGCAAGUCGAACGAUUAAAGCUCUCUUCGGAGAGUGCAUAGAGUGGCGCACGGGUGAGUAACACGUAAGUAAUCUACCUUCGAGUGGGGAAUAACGUCCGGAAACGGACGCUAAUACCGCAUAAUGCAGCGGCAUCGCAAGAUGACAGUUGUUAAAGAAUUUAUUCGCUUGAAGAGGAGCUUGCGGCAGAUUAGCUUGUUGGUAAGGUAACGGCUUACCAAGGCUACGAUCUGUAACCGGUCUAAGAGGACGGUCGGUCACACUGACACUGAAUAACGGGUCAGACUCCUACGGGAGGCAGCAGUCGGGAAUUUUGGGCAAUGGGGGAAACCCUGACCCAGCAACGCCGCGUGAAGGAUGAAGUAUUUUCGGUAUGUAAACUUCGAAAGAAUAAGGAAGAAUAAAUGACGGUACUAUUUAUAAGGUCCGGCUAACUACGUGCCAG